rnacentral:lncRNA from 1 species
CCUUAAUACCAAACUAGGGAUGUCAAUAGGUACGAAUAUCCGAAAUUUUAUCCGAAUCCAAACCCGAACGGAGCAAAUUUAUCCGAUGCUAAAUAUAUAUGAUUUCUGAUAUGGAUAUCAAAAACAGAAACCCGACGGAUAUAAAUAUGGAUAUGGAUUUUGACUACUGUACCCGACCCCAAACCCGAUCCGAAUCCAAAUUUAUUUUACAUUAUAAUAUAUAUGUAUAUGAAAAUUUGAUCUUAUAUUUGAAUUUAUAUUUUAAAAUUUUAAAUUUAAUAUAAUAUAUUUUGAAAUAUUGAAAAGAGAAAUAAUUGUUUCAGGUUCGGAUUUUGGGUUUGGGUUCGGGUUUCGGGUUUUUGGUUGGGUUCUGGUUUGGAUAAGGAUUUUUAAAAUCCAUCGAGUUCGGGUUCGGGUU